UGUAAAGCUGAAUUGCGAAUGUGUGU
rnacentral:piRNA from 1 species